rnacentral:rRNA from 1 species
AACGAACGCUGGCGGCAUGCCUAACACAUGCAAGUCGAACGAGACCUUCGGGUCUAGUGGCGCACGGGUGCGUAACGCGUGGGAACCUGCCCUUAGGUUCGGAAUAACUCCCCGAAAGGGGUGCUAAUACCGGUUAAUGUCUUCGGACCAAAGAUUUCUCGCCUUUGGAUGGGCCCGCGUUGGAUUCGCUAGUUGGUAGGGUAAAAGCCUACCAAGGCGACGAUCCAUAGCUGGUCUGAGAGGAUGAUCAGCCACACUGGGACUGAGACACGGCCCAGACUCCGACGGGAGGGAGCAGUGGGGAAUAUUGGACGAUGGGCGAAAGUCUGAUCCAGCAAUGCCGCGUGAGUGAUGAAGGCCUUAGGGUUGUAAAGCUCUUUUACCCGGGAUGAUAAUGACAGUACCGGGAGAAUAAGCUCCGGCUAACUCCGUG